rnacentral:rRNA from 1 species
GACGAACGCUGGCAGCGUGCUUAACACAUGCAAGUCGUUCGGUAAGGCCUCUUCGGGGAGGCACGACUGGCCAACGGGGGAGUAACACGUUGGUGAACUGCCCUGCCAGUCGGGGUAAACCUAGGAAACUGGCUCUAAUACCGGGUAAGACCACGCGCCGCAUGUGUUGUGGGGGAAGACUUUUGCGGUGUGGGAUGGGCCCGCGGCCUAUCAGGUUGUUGGUGGGGGGAUGGCCUACCAAGGCGGCGACUGGGAGGCGGCCUGAGAGGGUGUCAGGCCACACUGGGAGUGAGAGACGGCCCAGACACCUCCGGGAGGCAGCAGUGUGGAAUAUUGCAGAAUGGGCGCAAGCCUCAUGCAGCGACGUCGCGUGGGGGAUGACGGCCUUCGGGUUGUAAACCGUGUUCAGUACCGAGGAAGCGAAAGUGACGGUAGGUACAGAAGAAGCGACGGCCAACUACGUG